GAAACGCAGUAGGAGGAGUGACGGGAACCGGGAGCCGGCUCCAUGCGCCUGGAGCGCGCGGGUCCCAGCGCCCAUCGGCCCGGGGUCCGAGGGGCCCGCUGCCCGGGCUCGCUGCGUGGUGCUACCGCCCCCGGGCCCGCUGCGCCGCGUCGGAGCCCCAGCAGACUUUGAGAGGCGUGUGCGACAGUGCGCGUCCUCUCCUGCCUCUGGAUGUUUCCUUGGAGCCUCUGGCCUUCGGGAAGACCGGUGCCAUCCAGAUUCCAACAGUGACUUUUAGCUCUGAGAAGUCCAAUACUACAGCCCUGGCUGAGUUCGGAAAAUACAUUCAUAAAGCCUGAUGGCCUGGUGUUGGGCCUGAUCACCCCAAAAUUUCAGGCACCCAACGUGGGGCUAUGAAGACCAUGGUAAAGAAAUGCUAGAGUAUAUGGAAAUGAAGGACAUAUCAUCAAAGGACACCCGAGGAUGGCUGAAAGAAGCUUGGUGGUGCCACUGGGUUAGAGUCUCCCCGACCAAGCUGGUCUCAGCAAGUGGUCUCCAUCAUGGGGGCUCGAAUCCAGGUUGAAGGGUCACCAGAGUGAUGGUUGGAGAACAUGGAACUAGCUGGAGGACACCUGAGUACUCUUAAAGCAAACCCCGUGGCCAAAAUCAAUAACCAAUUUGGAUACCAUCAAGACACCUGAAACCUUAUCAUGAGCCAGAUGCUGAGGAAGAGAUUCCAGGAGGAUCCUGAGGACCCCCUGGUUGCAGCCACGUCGAGGCUGACACUGAGGAGGACCCCAACUGUCAUGAGCAACACCCGUCGAACACAGCCAUCCACCUGGGGACAAAUCAAGAAGCUGUCACAGAUGAUGGAAGAAAACCUGAGGAAAGCGGGACAACCAAUCACAAUGAGUAAUUUGGUGAUCUAUCACAGUGAUGAUCACCAUUGCCAUGAGUAUUCCUUCAACAAGGGCUGACACAGAGAACAAUUAUACUUAUUGGGCAUAUUUAUCAAUCUUGUCUGGCAAUAAUGCCUAGAUGAUUUCACUCUAUGGCACAGUUACACAUGCUUUCUGAUCUCAGUAUUUACCAUAAUAAAUCUGCUCCUAUAAUUGAGGCAUACCACCCUCAAAAACCUAUUUGUAAACAAAAUAGAACCUGGCCAGAAAUAAUGAACAACUUGUUUAGUAAGAUUGCAUUGCAGAACAGGCAGAGAUGCUACGCAAUGAUUCCUAUGGGAUCAUUGAUUGGUCCCCUAAGGGGAUGUUUAGCUUAAAUUGCACCUCUCAGUCUGCAUGCCAUGGCCACACUAGUUCAGAUGGUCUGAACAAAGUGGUCAGAUGGCAGAAAUGAUAAGAAGUAUGGCAAAAGUUCCUAUUGUCUGGAACCAUGGCAGUAUAGUGUCACCUCAACCUCAAAUGAUAUGGCUCAUUGUAGGAGCUAAACAUAAGGAUUUGUGGAAACUAUUAAUAGCUCUUAAUAAGAUCAAAAUUUGGGAAAGAAUAAAAAAAGCAUCUAGAAAGACACUCUACAAACUUGUCUUUGGAUAUUACAAAAUUAAAAGAACAAAUAUUUAAAGCAUCCCAGGUACACCUGACCUUAAUGACAGAAACUGGAGUGCUUGAAGGAGCUGCAGACAGAUUAGCAGCUAGUAACCCAUUAAAAUGGAUAAAAACACUUGGAAGCUCUGUGAUUUCAAUGAUGAUUGUGCUUUUAAUCGGUAUUGUUUGUCUUUGUAUAGUGUGCAGAUGUGGAUCCUGACUCCUGUGAGAAGUAGCUCACAGUGUCAAAGCUGCCUUUGCUUUUAUCGAUUUGCAAAUCAAAUAAGGGGGACAUAUUGGGAACAGCACCCCCCCCCCCAAAAUCUGGCCAUAAACUGGUCCCAAAACUGGCCAUAAACAAAAUCUCUGCAGCACUGACAUGUUCAUGAUGGUCUUAAUGCCCACGCUGGAAGGUUGUGGGUUUACCAGAAUGAGAGCAAGGAACACCUGGCCCACCCAGGGUGGAAAACCACUUAAAGGCAUUCUUAAACCACAAACAAUAGCAUGAGUGAUCUGUGCCUUAAGGCUGUGCUACUGCUGCAGAUAACUAGCCCAACCCAUCCCUUUAUUUCAGCCCAUCCCUUCGUUUCCCAUAAGGGAUACUUUUAAUUAAUCUAAUAUGUAUAGAAAGAAUGCUAAUGACUGGCUUGCUGUUAAUAAAUAACGUGGGUAAAUCUCUGUUGGAGGCUCUCAGCUCUGAAGGCUGUGAGACCCCGGAUUUCCCACUUCACACCUCUGUAUUUCUGUGUGUCUGUCUUUAAUUCCUUUAGCACCACUGGGUUAGGGUCUCCCCGACCGAGCUGGUCUUUGCACUUCUCACUUCUGGAUAUAGGCCUCCCUAGAGGGUUUUUUUUUUCUUUUUUGAUAGGAUCUUGCUCUUUCAUCCAGGCUGGUGUGCUGUAGUGUAUUCAUGGCUUGCUGCAGUCUUGAUCUCCCAGACUCAAGUAAUCCUCCCAUCUCAGCCUCCUGAAUAGCUAGGACCACAGGCCUGUGCCACCAUGUCUGGCUACUUUAAUUUUUUUUCCCUUAGAGACAGAGUCUCACUAUGUUGCCCAGGCUGGUCUCACAUUCCUGCACUCGUCAUCUUCCUGCCUUGGCCUUCCAAAGUGCUGAGAUUACAGGCAUGAAACACUACACCUGGCCAUCCCUGGAGUAUUUCUUCCUUCCUUCCUUCCUUGCUUCCUUCCUUCCUUUUUUCUUUUCCUCCCUCCCUCUCUCUUUCUUUCUUUGUUUCUUUUUCUCCCUUUCUUCCUUUCUUUCUUUCUUUUCUUUCUUUCUUCCUUCCUUUCUUUUUCUUUCUCUCUUUCUUUCUUCUUUCCUUCCUCCUUCCCUCCUUCCCUCCCCUCCCUCCCCCUCCCCUCCCUUCCUUCCUUCCUUCUUUCCUUCCUUCCUUCCUUUCUUCCUUCCUUCUUUCCUGUCUUAUUUCAAAACACAUGUCUUC
rnacentral:lncRNA from 1 species